rnacentral:rRNA from 1 species
GACGAACGCUGGCGGCGUGCUUAACACAUGCAAGUCGAACGGAAAGGCCCUGCUUUUGUGGGGUGCUCGAGUGGCGAACGGGUGAGUAACACGUGAGUAACCUGCCCUUGACUUUGGGAUAACUUCAGGAAACUGGGGCUAAUACCGGAUAGGAGAUCCUGCUGCAUGGUGGGGGUUGGUAAGUUUCGGCGGUUGGGGAUGGACUCGCGGCUUAUCAGCUUGUUUGUGGGGUAGUGGCUUACCAAGUCUUUGGCGGGUAGCCGGCCUGCGAGGGUGAGCAGCAACAUAAGGUCUUAGAGACGCCCCGUAAUCCUACGGGAGGCAACAGUGGGGAAUAUUGCACUAUGGGCGGAAGCCUUAUGCAGCAGCUUCGCGUGCGGGAUGACGGCCUUCGGGUUGUAACCCGCUUUCGCCUGUGACGAAGCGUGAGUGACGGUAAUGUGUAAAGAAGCACCGGCUAACUACGUG